rnacentral:lncRNA from 1 species
AUUAUCAAGCAGGUGCAAUAGCCGCAAGGCUUAGGGGGUGAGGGUGAGAAAAAAAUCGUAUAAAAGGAGAGAGAAAAUGCCAUUGAAGUCAGUCGAGUGAAGAUCUCCGACACGGCAACAACUGCUCUCUUCGUUUUAAUAUCAUUUUGCAAUCAUGGUUGAUAAUGGCGUUGGGUUGCUGUUGGGUGUUGUAUCGUUGAUGCCGAGCCCGAAAGAGAGAAGGCGAUAGAAAUCAAUCGAGUGAGCAUCUCUGACACGGCAACUGCACUCUUGGUGUUAUUACCAGUUCUCAAUCAGGGUAAACUAUGCCGUCGUGCUGCACUACACACAACAACUGAUGCUGCUCCGAGCUACUAAACCGAAGCCUCGGAAGUAUUAUUCUUCCCCGAGCUACGCUACCAAAGCGCACAGGUGCUACACCAACGAGUCUCCCAAGUACUACACAACUACGUAUGCUGCUCCAGCCUACUACACUAAGGCUCCCAAGUACUACUCUGCUCCCAGCUACUACACCGAGCCAAAAGUAACGGACUGAAGGUGCUCAAAGUUUUUGCUGAGGACGGUAUUAGGUCGAGUCCUCCCUAAAUGAGCGAAUGGACAACCGAGAAGUUGAAUGCAGAAAGUGUUAAUGUGUUGCCCAAAGCUAAUGUUGAGGGUGCAAGCUUGGAAGACAACAAGGUUCCAUUGAUCUUUAACAAUGGUCGAAAGGUUUAAACUGAUCAUGUUAUGGUUGCUGUCGGUUUGAACGCAAACACGGAUUUGGCUGUCGCUUCUGGUUUGGAAAUCGAUUCCAAUUUUGGCGGUUAUCGAGUCAAUGCUGAGCUUGAAGCAGAUCAAACGUCUGGUUGCCAAAGAUGCUGCCUGCUUUUAUGAUAUCAAAUUGGAUCGUCGUCGUGUGGAACAUCAUGACCAUGCUGUUGUAUCAGGGCGAUUGGCUAGAGAGCAUAUGAUUGGCAAUGCAUGCAUGCAACAUGGGUGAAGGACUGCAGCGCAAUAUUUGUCACUAUCUGCAUUCUUCGUCGUAUUUUCAGUACGCUAUCAUGGUUAACUAUGGUGUACUGCUGCUGUAUGUUGUAUCGUUGAUGGCUAGGUCAACCAUUGGUGUAUCGAUGUCUCCUGACGUCCUGAGUAUGGCGGAUACCAAGCCGCAACGCCGCCGCCUUCCUACACAACAACAACAUACGCAACAACCGGUUACCACACCACCAAGGCUGCAGAAUAUUAUACCACAACUUAUGAUGCCCCGAGCUACUACAUCGAAGCCUUGAAGUAUAACGCUGCCCCGAGUUGCCUCAACAAAGAGGCUGAGUACUACACCACCAAGGCACCGGAGUACUACACCACCAAGGCACCGGAGUACUACACCACCAAGGCACCGGAGUACUACACCACCAAGGCACCGGAGUACUACACCACCAAGGCACCGGAGUACUACACCACCAAGGCACCGGAGUACUACACCACCAAGGCACCGGAGUACUACACCACCAAGGCACCGGAGUACUACACCACCAAGGCACCGGAGUACUACACCACCAAGGCACCGGAGUACUACACCACCAAGGCACCGGAGUACUACACCACCAAGGCACCGGAGUACUACACCACCACUUGUGCUGUCCCAGCCUUUUACACCUAGUUUCAACUACUACUGUUUCUAGCCACUACACCGAAGCUCCAGCUUAUUAUACCACCAAAGCGGUAGAGUACUACAACGAAGCGCCCAAAUUCUAUCUGCCCGAGCUACGAAACUACAACUGUGGAGGCCCAGUACUACUUAGUACCUACUUACUAGUUACUACACAGCGGAUGGUCGUUAAUUCUACGUUGAACCGAAAUACUACUCUUGAGUCUCCAGUUUACUACACCACAAACCUACGCUGCCCCUAGCUAUUAAACCGAAGCUGCCAAGUGCUACACCGAAAAGGCCGAAUAUUACCCAAUGACGUAUGCUGCCCUAGUUUACUACACAGAGGAACCCAAGAUUAACUCUGCUCCAACCAACACCAAACAAGAGGAUCCGUUUUACUACACCACCAAGGCCCCUGAGUAUCACAAUGUAACCUACACUGGUCCCAGCUACUACUUUGAAUCUCCAAAGUAUUACUCUGCCCCGAGUUACUACACCACUAAAGCAUUUGGAUAUUACUCCACGACCUACGCUUCUUCUAGAGAAAGUCUACUAAAUACUAGUCGAAAUUUCAGUUUGAUUUAAUAGUGUUCAGUUUUGUCGGUCAUCAUACUAGUCACUGGUAUUGUGGUUGUUCUUAAAUGAGAAAAUAAAUAUUUUAAUGAGGGUAA